AUGGCGGCGGCUCUUGGUGCGGCGCAGUUGCUCCUCGGCAAGGUGCUCACGAAGCUCUCGGAUGAGCGUAUGGCCUCGUAUGUGGCUAGCUCCGAGCUUGGCCUCGACUCCCAGAAGAUCAAAGAUGACAUUAUGUACACGGUUGGCCUGCUGCAGCAGGCCCAGGGGAGGGGCACCAGCGACAUUCCUGGCCUCACGGACUUGCUGGUGAAGCUAAGCCAGAAGGCCGAUGAGGCUGAGAAAGUGCUGAACGAGCUCCGGUACUUCAUGAUCCGGGACCAGAUUAACGGCACCCAGCUAGUCAAGCCAGAUCUGGGCGCUUGCCUCAAGACCAAGAAAGGUCAUGCUCGUCACACUAUUGGUAACUGUCUGCCAUUCAUUUUUCGUCCAUGUACCAGUAGCCAACAAGAUGGAACCAUGUCUGAUGGCCAUGACCAUGUUGAUGAGUUGCCAUUUGAUAGUGUGUCCAUAUCCAUCAAAAUCAAGUCGGUGUUAGAGGAGACACACUCCAUAUGUGUUCAUGUCUCCGACUUGCUCAAGUUGAUUCCAAACCACGGCAGCAGCUCUACGACAGCCACAACUGUCACCCGCAUACGGCCUACUAGAGGAUCAAUGGUUGCACAGGAUACAAUGUAUGGUAGGCGGGACAUCUUUGAGAAAACUAUACAUGCCAUCACCAGUUGCGGCGAAAUCCUUUCUGUUCUCCCUGUAGUUGGGCCAGGGGGCAUUGGAAAAACAACUUUAAUCCAACACCUGUAUAAUGAUAAAAGGAUUGAAGAACACUUUGAUGUCAGAAUAUGGGUAUGUGUAUCAAUUGAUUUUGCUGUGCUUAAGCUCACCCGGGAGAUCUUUAGAUGCAUAAUUGCAACUGAAGAAGAAGGAAGAAAUAGUGCUCCCAGUGAAACAGCCAGUAUAGAACAGCUUCAGGAGUCUAUUGCACAGAGGCUCCAGUCCAAAAGGUUUUUAAUUGUUCUGGAUGAUGUGUGGCAACUCAAUAGUGAAGAUGAGUGGCAUACCCUAUUAGCUCCAUUCAAAAAGGGAGGAGCCAAGGGCAACAUGGUACUUGUCACAACCCGGUUCCCAUCUAUAGCAGGCAGGGUGAAGACAGUUGAUCCAGUCGAGCUGCAAGGUUUAGACACUGAUGAUUUCUUCGCAUUCUUUGAAGAGUGUAUAUUUGGUGGACUCGAUAAGCCUAUGCAUUACAGAGAUGAGUUAACUGAUAUUGCAAGAGAUAUUGUAGAUAAGUUAAAGGGUUCACCUUUAGCAGCCAAAACAGUCGGCCGCCUAUUAAGGAAAGACCUAUCCUGGGAACACUGGACAAGAGUUCUUGAAAGCAUGGAAUGGGAAAAUAAGCAGAGCGAUAAUGAUACUAUGCCAGCUUUGUACCUUAGCUACGAUUACCUCCCUUUCCUCCUGCAAAAAUGUUUUUCCUAUCUUUCUCUUUUUCCUGAAGAUCAUAGGUUUAGUCAUUCAGAAAUUAAUCGCUUUUGGAUUGCAGUAGGCAUCAUAGACUCUAAUCAUCCAGGAAAUAACAAUUGCUUGGAAGAACUAGUGGACCGUGGUUUUCUUAGGAGGGUACAUGGUUUGUUUGGUGAAGAAUACUAUGUAAUCCAUGAUUUACUGCAUGAACUAUCUCGAAGUGUUUCAACACAAGAAUGCCUCAAUAUAAGUGUUUUAGAUUUUAAAGCUGACACAGUCCCACCAUCUAUUCAACACUUAUCUAUCACCCUAGAAAAUAAAUAUGAUGGAAUUUUUUUGGAAGAAAUAAGUAAACUGAAAAUAAAGAUAGACAUUGCAAAUUUACGGACUUUAAUGAUUUUUAGUGCAUAUGAAGAAAGAAUUGCUGGUAUUUUAAAAGAUACGUUUGAGGAAGUAGAUAGUCUGCAUGUCCUAUUUAUAGUUGUGAAAUCCCUGGAUGAUUUGCCAAAAGGCUUUUCAAAACUUAUCCACCUCCAGUACCUCAAACUUGGAUCACCUAUUGGCAUAGAAAUGGCAUUACCUAGCACACUGGCCAGAUUUUAUCACUUGAAAUUCUUAGACCUAAAAGAUUGGCAUGGUAGUUCUAAUGUUCCUAAAGACAUUAGUCACCUUGUGAAUUUGCAAGACUUCAUUGCUAAAAAAGAACUCCACUCCAGUGUUCUUGAGGUUGGAAAGAUGAAGUACCUACGGGAACUAAAACAAUUCUGUGUUAAGAAAGAGAGUGUUGGGUUUGAAUUAAGAGAGCUAGGGGAACUGACAGAGCUUGGGGGAGAACUCAGAAUAUGUAACCUUGAAAACGUGGCAACCAAGGAAGAAGCUAGUGAGGCCAAACUGAUGUCGAAAAGGAAUCUGAAGAAGCUGACAUUGGUUUGGGGCAGAAAACAAUCGACUAUAGAUGGUGAUGUUCUUGAUGCUCUUCAACCGCAUCCUGAUCUUAGAGAGCUUCGAAUUGCAAAUCAUGGUGGUGCUGUUGGUCCCAGUUGGUUGUGUGUUGACAUGUUGCUGAAACAGUUAGGUGUUCUCCAUCUCGAAGGUUUGUCUUGGGACACUCUUCCACCUUUUGGGCAGCUACCACGCCUCACUAAACUCAUUUUGAUGAGGAUUUCUGGAGUGCAUCAGUUGGCUCUGCUCUCAAACCUCACGUCUCUCACCCAUCUGACACUGCAAGAUUGUGUCAAGUUAACAGUGGAUGGAUUCAAUCCUCUUACCACAGUCAACCUUAAGGUAUUGGUGGUAUUUAACUGCCGAUGGGACAGAAGUUGUCCCGAAUCUGUAGCAGCGGAUCUUCUCACAAAGGUGGCAAGUAGCAGAGUAAUGCCUGCAGGUUCCUUCCGAUUAGAACAGCUCAAGGUGGACAGCAUCUCGGCAGUGCUUGUCACUCCCAUCUGCAACCUUGUCGCCCAUACCCUCCAGACUCUGAUAUUCUGCCAUGAUCACCGGAUCAAGAGUUUCACAGAAGAGCAAGAGAAGGCGCUUCUGCUCCUCACAUCACUCCGACACCUCACAUUUGAUGGUUGUGGGGCUCUGCAGUCCCUCCCGAGAGGGUUGAAUCGCCUUUCUUCACUCAAAGACUUAGAGGUCCUCUGGUGCCCUGAAAUGGGAUCCAUACCCAAGGAGGGGUUCCCAGUUUCGCUCGAAAUCCUACGCAUAAGACCUUGCAGCCCCGAGGUUAGGGAGCAAAUUGAGAAACUCAGAAGAACAAGCCCAGGUUUAUCUGUACGAUACGAGUAA
rnacentral:rRNA from 1 species